GAUGAACGCUGGCGGCGUGCCUAAUACAUGCAAGUCGAGCGAACAGACGAGGAGCUUGCUCCUCUGACGUUAGCGGCGGACGGGUGAGUAACACGUGGAUAACCUACCUAUAAGACUGGGAUAACUUCGGGAAACCGGAGCUAAUACCGGAUAAUAUAUUGAACCGCAUGGUUCAAUAGUGAAAGACGGUUUUGCUGUCACUUAUAGAUGGAUCCGCGCCGCAUUAGCUAGUUGGUAAGGUGACGGCUUACCAAGGCAACGAUGCGUAGCCGACCUGAGAGGGUGAUCGGCCACACUGGAACUGAGACACGGUCCAGACUCCUACGGGAGGCAUCAGUAGGGAAUCUUCCGCAAUGGGCGAAAGCCUGACGGAGCAACGCCGCGUGAGUGAUGAAGGUCUUCGGAUCGUAAAACUCUGUUAUUAGGGAAGAACAAAUGUGUAAGUAACUAUGCACGUCUUGACGGUACCUAAUCAGAAAGCCACGGCUAACUACGUG
rnacentral:rRNA from 1 species